rnacentral:rRNA from 1 species
UACGAGGGGGGCGAGCGUUGUUCGGAAUUAUUGGGCGUAAAGGGUGCGUAGGCGGUUCCGCAAGUCCUGUGUGAAAUCUUCGGGCUCAACUCGAAGUCUGCACGGGAAACUGCGGGGCUUGAGUGUGGGAGAGGUGAGUGGAAUUUCCGGUGUAGCGGUGAAAUGCGUAGAUAUCGGAAGGAACACCUGUGGCGAAAGCGGCUCACUGGACCAUUACUGACACUGAGGCACGAAAGCUAGGGGAGCAAACAGG